rnacentral:rRNA from 1 species
GACGAACGCUGGCGGCGUGGAUUAGGCAUGCAAGUCGAACGGUAUUAUCCUUUCGGGGAUAAGAGAGUGGCGAACGGGUGAGUAACACGUAGGUGAUCUACCCUCAAGACGGGGACAACCCAGGGAAACUUGGGCUAAUACCGGAUGAAAGCAACCGCAAGGUUGUUUAAAAGAUGGCUUUCGGGCUGUCGUUUGGGGAUGAGCCUGCGCUCUAUUAGUUAGUUGGUGGGGUAAUGGCCUACCAAGGCGAUGAUAGAUAGGCGGCCUUAACGGGUGGUCGCCCACACUGGGAUUGAGAUACGGCCCAGACUCCUACGGGAGGCUG